UACGGAGGGUGCAAGCGUUAUCCGGAUUCACUGGGUUUAAAGGGUGCGUAGGUGGGCAGGUAAGUCAGUGGUGAAAUCUCUGGGCUUAACCCGGAAACUGCCGUUGAUACUAUCUGUCUUGAAUAUAGUGGAGGUGAGCGGAAUAUGUCAUGUAGCGGUGAAAUGCUUAGAUAUGACAUAGAACACCCAUUGCGAAGGCAGCUCGCUACACUAUUAUUGACACUGAGGCACGAAAGCGUGGGGAUCAAACAGG
rnacentral:rRNA from 1 species